rnacentral:rRNA from 1 species
AUUGAACGCUGGCGGCAUGCUUUACACAUGCAAGUCGAACGGCAGCGCGGGCUUCGGCCUGGCGGCGAGUGGCGAACGGGGGAGUAAUACAUCGGAACGUGCCCAGUAGUGGGGGAUAGCUCGGCGAAAGCCGGAUUAAUACCGCAUACGACCUGAGGGUGAAAGCGGGGGAGCUUCGGACCUCGCGCUAUUGGAGCGGCCGAUGGCAGAUUAGCUAGUUGGUGGGGUAAAGGCCUACCAAGGCGACGAUCUGUAGCUGGUCUGAGAGGACGACCAGCCACACUGGGACUGAGCCACGGCCCAGACUCCUACGGGAGGCAGCAGUGUGGAACUUUGGACAAUGGGCGAAAGCCUGAUCCAGCAAUGCCGCGUGUGUGAUGAAGGCCUUCGGGUUGUAAAGCACUUUUGGCGGGAACGAAAAGGACUGUGCUAAUACCACGGUUGGAUGACGGUACCCGCUGAAUAAGCACCGGCUAACUACGUG